ensembl:lncRNA
GAGGAGACGAGAAGCAAAACAGCGUUAUCAGCCAUAGAAUAGAUAGGGCGGGGAGAAGUGAACAAGUGGUGUCGUGACGUAAAAUUAACCCUUCCUGCUACACGAGGUUUAAUGGCUCCUUUUAAUUAGUGGUUUUAUUCAAAAUAAGGGAAAUUCACAAAGUAUUUUAAUAUACAUACAACUUGUGCAAAUCUAAUCUCAGCCGAAUUUUAUGUAUUUCAGAAAUUAACAACAAUGAACAACACACUUUUAAAAUAUGCAAAAAUGGUACCUCUGCGCUGUGUGCGUCAGUACUUCCUGUCUUCAUAACUGUCAGUGUGAGCUGCCGAGGCGCCACAAAUCAGAUGAUGGAGUGUCUGUGGCGACGCCUCCACAUCCUGCUGCAGGUCUCCUUCUGGGUCUGUUUCGUCACAGGUUCAAAUGUAGAAUGGAGACGGGUUGGGGAAAAGAUAGUAAUAACUUGCUCCACUGAUAAACCAACUCAAAGUGCAGUGUAUCUUUACAAGAGCUACCACCAAAGGCAGUCGGUGUUCUAUCUCCUUAAAGAGGGGGUUCCGAGUCGCACGGUAGCCUACAAGGACAAGGUUAAAGUUACAGGCUUCAACAAGCUGAGAGCCACAAUUAGCAACCUAACCGUAAAUGACACUGGAGUUUUCUGGUGCCAGUACUUGAGACAUGAUGGACCAACAAACCAUGAAACUGAAAACAAAGAGGGUGAAACAUUGUUGGUGGUCAAUGGGCCGGAGAAGGUGUGCCCCACACAUGGGCCAUACGCAACCACCAGCACAGAGGAGUCCAGUCAGACCUUGUGGAUCGUGGGUGCUGUCACCGUCUGCUCACUGGUUCUGCUGGUGCUCAUUAUCCUGCUCAUCUCGGUGAAGAGGUGCUGUGUACACAAUGGAAAGUACAGGUGUCAUCCCCAGUCUGCCGUUGGACCCCCAGCACAUCGCUCCGAUUCUGUUUAUGAGCAGAUGAGGCCCCAGAGGGCCACCUCUAUGUCUCCACAGAGGGCCACCUCUAUGUCUCCACAGAGGGCCACCUCUAUGUCUCACUCCUCUGCCCGGGUACUCAUCAACCCUACCUACUAGCUUCACCCAAAUAACCCACAUCCUACCACCCCCCUUCAGUAAGAAUCAACACUGGCACGCCAGCUUCAUAUUUUCAUUUGACAAGUGCACUGAAAUUCAUUAGCCUGUGUGUCCAAACUUGCUUGCUUGAAAAAUUAAACCGGUUUGAAUUUAUUUAAUUUAUGUUUUGAAUUAUGUUUAAAUCCAAUGUGUGAAGCAUUUUGAUGUAUCAUUCACUCGUGUAACACAAACAUUUUGGUCAUUGAGAUCGAAUGCAGCAUCAGAUUGUGAAAUGUUCGUGUAAGACCGUAGUGAUACAUGGAGCAAAGGGUCAUGUAGUUAUUAACCUUUCAUAGGAAUGGAUAUACUCAGCCAAUUCUCCUUUGGCUGUCUUUCCAGAAACUGCUUUCUUUUUAUACAGGGUAGAUCAAACAAAACUAACAUACAGUACUUCAUCUGUGUGUACCUGUAACAUAUAUGAGGUAGUUGUAAGAGGUUUGCCACUUUAUAAUACAAAACUGAUUUUAAUAUGCACAAAAUGUAAUAUGAUCAGAUGUAUAUAACUGUUAUGCACCACAUUAUAUUUGUGCGAAUUGAAUAUCCACCUUUGUGGUUUUUUAAUUGUCAUAUGAUUGUAUAGAUUAAUUUCAAUAUGCCUGUCAUAUACACAGUGUAUGUUGCAAUUGUUAUAUAUGUAGCAUGGAUUAUGUAGCAUUGAAUAAAAGUGUUUAACAAGUAAAUUAUGUGGCGAUU